rnacentral:rRNA from 1 species
UACGGUGGGGGCAAGCGUUGUUCGGAAUUACUGGGCGUAAAGGGCUCGUAGGUGGCCAACUAAGUCAGACGUGAAAUCCCUCGGCUUAACCGGGGAACUGCGUCUGAUACUGGAUGGCUUGAGUUUGGGAGAGGGAUGCGGAAUUCCAGGUGUAGCGGUGAAAUGCGUAGAUAUCUGGAGGAACACCGGUGGCGAAGGCGGCAUCCUGGACCAACACUGACACUGAGGAGCGAAAGCCAGGGGAGCAAACGGG